rnacentral:rRNA from 1 species
UACACCACUAAUUCCAUCUCCCCCUCCCAUACUCUAGUCUAGCAGUUUCAAAUGCAGUUCAAUGGUUGAGCCAUUGGAUUUCACAUCCGACUUGCUAAACAGCCUACGCGUCCUUUACGCCCAGUGAUUCCGAGUAACGCUUGCACCCUCCGUAUUACCGCGGCUGCUGGCACGGAGUUAGCCGGUGCUUAUUCAUAUGCUACCGUCAUUUUCUUGACAUAUAAAAGGAGUUUACACACCGAAAUGCGUCAUCCUCCACGCGGCGUUGCUGCAUCAGGCUUUCGCCCAUUGUGCAAUAUUCCUCACUGCUGCCUCCCGUAGGAGUCUGGUCCGUGUCUCAGUACCAGUGUGGCGGAUCAUCCUCUCAGAACCGCUACCCGUCAUUGCCUUGGUGAGCCAUUACCUCACCAACUAGCUGAUAGGAUAUAGUCUGAUCCCAAAGCGAAAAGACAUUUCCCUUCUUACCUUAUGAUAAGAAGGUGUAUCUAGUAUUAAUCACCGUUUCCAGUGGCUAUCCCAGUACUUUGGGGUACAUUAACUAUAGUUUACUCAC